UACACCAAAACACACACCUUGAGUGUGUGUUCUGGUCGAUGUCUUCCACAGGAGCAAAGGAGUUCCUUUGUUCAACCCUAACUUGCCUAAAUCCAAGAAAUUGAGAGGCCAAAUCAGUCCCAAAUCGAAAUCCAAGCUCGUAUUCAUGAACACCAAGUUGAAAGGAUCACAAGUUUGACGCGUAACAAGCUAGGUGGAAGCUUGGAGUGAAAGCGGGUCAAACAAGUCGAGCAUGGAAGAAAAGAGUAGCUCGGAUGCAAGGAGCGAUUAGCGAUUCAGUUAAUUUCGCCCACACUAAGUGCGAUGAUAAAAGCAAGGUAUAAAUUGGGUCUAUAUGUUGACCCUAGCCAGGUACGCAUGCAUACGAUUAUAGUUAACAUACAAACUUGGUCAAAUAGGUAGUGAAAGCCCCUCGUAGUAAAUGAGGGGCUAAUGUCGACCAAAAUGCCCUUGAAGGGUAAAUUGAGCAAACAACUUAUAAAGGUUGUUUAGGAACUUAUCUUGCGAUCUUGUAACCUUUAGACGCGCAUGAAAGUUGUAGACAUAAACUUUCGAAAGUUAAAUGCUUAAAUUGUGUGUUGCCGCAAAAAUAACACAUCCGUAGGAUUAAACUCGGAAUAAAUAGUCCAUUUCGCUAAAUCCACCACAUUCAUAGUCGUGGUGGAAGAAUAGCUAAUAACAAAUUGGUGGAACUAUGAGGUACAUGAGAAAUGAGCACCGUUCGUGCUAAAAUGGUCGUAAAUACCCUUAACGGGUCAAAAUAAGAUUUUAAACGAAAACGGGUAAAUAAUUGUGUAGAAACCCGUGUUCAGUACUUAAUAUGAUUGACAAUAUUAGAAUUUAAGGGUUCAUGAUGAAUGGUGGCCAAACAAACAUGUUUGUUUGAUAAUCACAUAGUCGGGUCGAAAAUUGUUGAAAAGAUAAUAAGCCGAAGGCUUAAAAGUCUCAAUUUUAUUUAAUCCGGAUGUCGGAUUUUAACUCCAUAUGAUGGAGAAUUAAAUUACGGACGCGUAGGAAAAAGAAUCGUGUAAAACGGAUUAAAAACGAGAGGGUUAUGUCCGUUUCGGUAGAAAACAAUGAAAAAUAAACGUCAGAGUUGACACGGGCAGGUGACUUUUUGACACGGCCGGGUGGCUGGGCUGUGAAAAAUAUAUGUUAAGCUGACACGGCCGGGUGACUUUUUGGCACGGCCGGGUGAAGGGGCUGAAAACAAAACAAAAAUAAUUUCUUGUUUUGUUACGUUAAGCACGAAACUUGUUUAUACUCGAUUAUUAAAGUGUCAAAACUAAUUAUUUACAUGGUUUUGACCGUAGGUGAAGAUGGACCUAAUCCGGAUGAAGAUCAAGCGGCGAGCAAGAACCGAACACGCGUUAAACAAAGCUUCCGCAAUGUUGUUUCGUCAUUAUUUUAAAACGACGAAUUAAACCACUUUAUGUGGUGUUACUAUAAUUUGUAAAAGUUUUCUUUAAUCCCGUAUUUCCAAUGUAUGUAAUCAUUAAUUACAUGGAUGUUUUCGCAAAAUAUACGUUAAACCUUGAUUUAUAAGAACUGGUGUUACAAGUUGGUAAUCAGAGCUCAAGGUUAAAAGAAUAAAGUGUUCGGUUCGAGGCUUGAUCGCAAAUCCGGUAAGUACAAGUACGUGAAUAGUUAGUAUUCUAAAGUGUUGUAAACAACACAUAGGGCUAUCGUGUGAUACACGCUACCCCAAUUAAAAUGAUUGAAA